rnacentral:tRNA from 1 species
GUUCUUGUAGUUGAAUGACAACAGUGGUUUUUCGGGCCAUUGGUUUUGGUUAAAAUCCAAAUGAGAAUU